GACGAACGCUGGCGGCGUGCUUAACACAUGCAAGUCGAACGGAAAGGCCUGCUUUCCCUUGUGCAUUGCGGGUACUCGGGUGGCGAACGGGUGAGUAACACGCGAGUGUUCUGCCCCCAACUUGGUUAUAAGCCCGGGAAACUGGGUCUAAUUCCCGAUAGGACCGCAGGGUGGUGUCUGUGGUGGAGAACGUUUUUCUAGUGGUUGGGGAUGAGCUCGCGGCGUAUCUGCUUGUUGGUGCGGUAAUGGCCUACCAAGGCGGCGAGGCGUAGCCGGACUGGGAUGGGCGACGGUCGCAUUGGGACAGGGUCACGGCUCAGACGCCUGCGAGAGGCAGGAGUGGGGCAGAAAGGACAGAGGGCGGAAGCCUGAUGCAGCGACGGAGUGUGGAAGAUGACGGGCUUCGGGUUGUAUGCUCCUAGCGACCGCGAGGAAGGCACCUGGUUGGAAGGGUGGUGACGGUAGUGGUAGAAGAAGCACCGGCUAACUACGUG
rnacentral:rRNA from 1 species